rnacentral:rRNA from 1 species
GGUCUGGAUCAUGGCUCAGAUUGAACGCUGGCGGGAUGCUUUACACAUGCAAGUCGAACGGCAGCACGGACUUCGGUCUGGUGGCGAGGGCGAACGGUGAGUAAUGUAUCGGAACGUGCCUAGUAGCGGGGGAUAACUACGCGAAAGCGGGUAGCUAAUACCGCAUACGCCCUUCGGGGGAAAGCGGGGACCUUUCGGGGCCUCGCACUAUUAGAGCGGGCCGAUAUCGGAUUAGCUAGUUGGUGGGGUAACGGCUCACCAAGGCGACGAUCCGUAGCUGCUUCAGAGGACGACCAGCCACACUGGGACUGAGACACGGCCCAGACUCCUACGGGAGGCAGCAGUGGGGAAUUCUGGACAAUGGGGGAAAACCCUGAUCCAGCCAACUUGGCGUGUGCGAUGAAGGCCUUCGGGUCAGGUAAAGCACUUUUGAGAGGAAAGAAACGGCACGGGAUAAUACCCGCAACUGACGGUACCUGCAGAAUAAGCACCGGCUAACUACGUGCCAGCAGCCGUAAUACGUAGGGUGCGCGUUAAUCGGAAUUACUGGGCGUAAAGCGUGGCGCAGGCGGUUCGGAAAGAAAGAUGUGAAAUCCCAGAGCUUAACUUUGGAACUGCAUUUAACUACCGAGCUAGAGCGUCGAGGAGGUGGAAUUCGCGUGUAGCAGUGAAAUGCGUAGAUAUGCGGAGGAACACCGAUACAGCGCAGCCUCCUGGGAUAACACCGACGCCCGCGCACGAAAGCGUGGGGAGCAAACAGGAUUAGAUACCCUGGUAGUCCACGCCCUAAACGAUGUCAAUCCAGCUGUUGGGGCCUCGGGCCUUGGUGGCGCAGCUAACGCGUGAAGUUGACCGCCCGGGGAGUACGGUCGCAAGAUUAAAACUCAAAGGAAUUGACGGGACCCGCACAAGCGGUGGAUGAUGUGGAUUAAUUCAGAUAACGCGAAAAACCUUUACCUACCCUUGACAUGUCUGGAAUCCCGAAGAGAUUUUGGGAGUGCUCGCAAGAGAACCGAACACAGGAGCUGUGUAUGGGCUGUCGUCAGCUCGUGUCGUGAGAUGCUGCUGUCCCAACGAGCGCAACCCUUUGUCAUUAGUUGCUACGAAAGGGCACUCUAAUGAGACUGCCGGUGACAAACCGAGGAAGGUGGGGAUGACGUCAAGUCCUCAUGGCCCUUAUGGGUAGGGCUUCACACGUCAUACAAUGGUCGGGACAGAGGGUCGCCAACCCGCCAGGGGGAGCCAAUCCCAGAAACCCGAUCGUAGUCCGGAUCGCAGUUCGCAACUGACCGCGUGAAGCCGAACGCCAGUAAUCGCAUCAGCAUGUCGCAGUGAAUACGUUCCCCGGGUCUUGUACACACCGCCUGUCACACCAUGGGAGUGGGUUUUACCAGAAGUAGUUAGCCUAACCGUAAGGAGGGUGAUUACCACGGUAGGAUUCAUGACUGGGGUGAAGUCAACAAGGCAG